CCUACGGGUGGCAGCAGUGGGGAAUAUUGCACAAUGGGGGAAACUCUGAUGCAGCGACGUCGCGUGAGUGAUGAAGUAACUCGUUAUGGAAAGCUCUAUCAGCAGGGAAGAAAAUGACGGUACCUGAGUAAGAAGCUCCGUCUAACUACGUGCCAGCAGCCGCGGUAAUACGUAGGGGGCAAGCGUUAUCCGGAUUUACUGGGUGUAAUGGGAGCGUAGACGGCUGUGCAAGUCUGGAGUGAAAGGCGGGGGCUCAACCCUCGGACUGCAGUGGAAACUGUACGGCUGGAGUGCAGGAGAGGUGAGUGGAAUUCGUAGUGUAGCGGUGAAAUGCGUAGAUAUUAGGAAGAACACCGGUGGCGAAGGCAGCUUACUGGACUGUAACUGACGUUGAGGCUCGAAAGCGUGGGGAGCAAACAGGAUUAGAUACCCGAGUAGUC
rnacentral:rRNA from 1 species